CCUAUAGAGCAGGGUAGUCCAUAUCGGGGUAUUAUUUUUCGUAGCAGGAAUCUCACGACUUCUCCUGCUUUCUCUGUACGAGUAGGACAUGCUUCUACCCAGCCUGAAUAGGUGCACACCACUACCAGCAGGUAGCGAUGUCCACCCGAUUUAGGCAUCACUGUAUAGUCAAUUUGUAAAUCGGACAUGGGAAGUCCCCCCAUAAACUGGACUCCUGGUGGCUUUACUGGUUCUUGUCUUGCAUUAUUUUUAGCACACGUUACACAUCUACGUACAAUGGCCUGAGUCAAGUUGGACAAUCUUGGUAUGUAGAAAUGUUUUCUGAGAGAUUCUUC